rnacentral:lncRNA from 1 species
AAUCGGAGACUCUGGGGGUGGAGCCCAACAAUCUCUAAAACAAGUCCUCCAGGCAGGAAUUUAUACGUGCAUGUUUAAAGGCGAUACUUUUCAAAUGCCAGACUUCCUCAGCUUGUGCUAUACUUCCCGUUCACACACUGCCGUGUCUUUGCUAUGCCCUCCCAUACACCAAAAAAAAAAAAAAAAAAAAAAACCCCAAAUAAUCCAAAAACUCUUGUUCAGAUUUCCAAACUGGUUCAAGGUCAAGAUGGACCAAAAUUUACUUUGGCUU